rnacentral:rRNA from 1 species
AACGAACGCUGGCGGCAUGCCUAACACAUGCAAGUCGAACGAGACCUUCGGGUCUAGUGGCGCACGGGUGCGUAACGCGUGGGAACCGGCCCUUAGGUUCGGAAUAACUCCCCGAAAGGGGUGCUAAUACCGGAUAAUGUCUUCGGACCAAAGAUUUAUCGCCUUAGGAUGGGCCCGCGUUGGAUUAGCUAGUUGGUAGGGUAAAAGCCUACCAAGGCGACGAUCCAUAGCUGGUCUGAGAGGAUGAUCAGCCACACUGGGACUGAGACACGGCCCAGACUCCUACGGGAGGCAGCAGUGGGGAAUAUUGGACAAUGGGCGAAAGCCUGAUCCAGCAAUGCCGCGUGAGUGAUGAAGGCCUUAGGGUUGUAAAGCUCUUUUACCCGGGAUGAUAAUGACAGUACCGGGAGAAUAAGCCCCGGCUAACUCCGUG